UGGGGAAUUUUGGACAAUGGGGGAAACCCUGAUCCAGCCAUCCCGCGUGUGCGAUGAAGGCCUUCGGGUUGUAAAGCACUUUUGGCAGGAAAGAAACGUCGCGGGUUAAUACCCCGCGGAACUGACGGUACCUGCAGAAUAAGCACCGGCUAACUACGUGCCAGCAGCCGCGGUAAUACGUAGGGUGCAAGCGUUAAUCGGAAUUACUGGGCGUAAAGCGUGCGCAGGCGGUUCGGAAAGAAAGAUGUGAAAUCCCAGAGCUUAACUUUGGAACUGCAUUUUUAACUACCGGGCUAGAGUGUGUCAGAGGGAGGUGGAAGUUCCGCGUGUAGCAGUGAAAUGCGUAGAUAUGCGGAGGAACACCGAUGGCGAAGGCAGCCUCCUGGGCAUAACACUGACGCUCAUGCACGAAAGCGUGGGGAGCAAACAGGAUUAGAUACCCUGGUAGUCCACGCCCUAAACGAUGUCAACUAGCUGUUGGGGUCUUCGGACCUUGGUAGCGCAGCUAACGCGUGAAGUUGACCGCCUGGGGAGUACGGUCGCAAGAUUAAAACUCAAA
rnacentral:rRNA from 1 species